rnacentral:rRNA from 1 species
UACGGAGGAUGCGAGCGUUAUCCGGAUUUAUUGGGUUUAAAGGGUGCGUAGGCGGGUUAUCAAGUCAGCGGUAAAAUCGUGGAGCUCAACUCCAUCCAGCCGUUGAAACUGGCUGUCUUGAGAUGUCGAGAGGUAUGCGGAAUGCGCAGUGUAGCGGUGAAAUGCUUAGAUAUUGCGCAGAACUCCGAUUGCGAAGGCAGCAUACCGGCGGCGAUCUGACGCUGAGGCACGAAAGCGUGGGUAUCGAACAGG